CAAUAGCGUAUAUUUAAGUUGUUGCAGUUAAAAAGCUCGUAGUUGGAUUUCGGGUGGGACGCAGCGGUCUCGCAUUGCGUUUGUACUGCUGCAGCCCUCCUUCUUGCCGGGGGCGGCCUCUCGGACUUCACUGUCUGGGGGUCAGAAUCGGCGAUGUUACUUUGAGUAAAUUAGAGUGUUCAAAGCAAGCUUACGCUCUGAAUAUAAUAGCAUGGGAUAACACGACAGGACUCUGGCCUAUCGUGUUGGUCUAUAGGACCAGAGUAAUGAUUAAGAGGGACAGUCGGAGGCAUUCGUAUUCCGUUGUCAGAGGUGAAAUUCUUGGAUUUACGGAAGACGAACAUCUGCGAAAGCAUUUGCCAAGGAUGUUUUCAUUGA
rnacentral:rRNA from 1 species